GUGGGGAAUCUUAGACAAUGGGCGCAAGCCUGAUCUAGCCAUGCCGCGUGAUCGAUGAAGGCCUUAGGGUUGUAAAGAUCUUUCAGUGGGGAAGAUAAUGACUGUACCCACAGAAGAAGCCCCGGCUAACUCCGUGCCAGCAGCCGCGGUAAUACGGAGGGGGCUAGCGUUGUUCGGAAUUACUGGGCGUAAAGCGCACGUAGGCGGAACAGAAAGUCAGAGGUGAAAUCCCAGGGCUCAACCUUGGAACUGCCUUUGAAACUCCUGUGCUUGAGUUCGAGAGAGGUGAGUGGAAUUCCGAGUGUAGAGGUGAAAUUCGUAGAUAUUCGGAGGAACACCAGUGGCGAAGGCGGGUAACUGGCCGAACACUGACACUGAGAUCCGAAAGCGUGGGGAUCAAACAGGAUUAGAUACCCGUGUAGUCC
rnacentral:rRNA from 1 species